rnacentral:misc_RNA from 1 species
AUUCCAUGGUACAGAUCACAACCAGAAUCUUCUGAACUGAUCGGGGUUGUGUUGCUGGGCACAUCAGAUAAAACUGGCUUAGCCUCUGAUUCGGAAUCUGGAGCAGAAGUAGUUGUGCUACUUUCAUCUGAUCCUUUAUCUGCACUACCUGAAUUAUCAGACACAACAUUUCGUUNNNNNNNNNNNNNUUCUCCUUCACCCCAACUUCUUGUCGGGCAUUGGCAGAGGGAAUUUGUAGAUCAGACUCCGAUGGCAAAGAAUUCUUAUCUAUGUCAUUUACACUAUCAUUAAC